AUGAGAAAUGUCGAGUAGGCCAAUGCAACGCUACUGGACAGUUUGAUCUUUGAUAAAGUUAGCAUGUCUUUAUCUGGUUUGGCGGGUCGCCCUAAAAGCCCACUAUGCUGCAAAAACGUGAACAAAUAAGCAAUGACAAAUUCAUUUGGCAGAAUGGAUUUGAGGCUGGUGUAGCUCAUCACCAUUAACACCAGACAUCAGGAUCUGGAGUGAGAACCUGGGUUGAAAGGAAAGGUAGCAGAAAGUGUAUACUGAAAAUACCAUUGUUCAAGGAUUCUUCAUGGAGUGAACUACAUAGCCAUCAAAUAAGCAUCACAGCAAUUUUGUGUAUGAGGUAAGUCAUCUUUCAGUUCUAAUUUCUUGAUAUAGAGACUAU